UGGCGCAAUGCGACCGCUGCGUGCCGCUAUAACAUUGCAAGUCGAGCGCAGGAACUGACGGAACUCUUCGGAGGGAAGGCAGUGGAAUGAGCGGCGGACGGGUGAGUAACACGUAAGGAACCUGCCUCAAGGAUUGGGAUAACUCCGAGAAAUCGGAGCUAAUACCGGAUAGUUCAUCGGACCGCAUGGUCCGAUGAUGAAAGGCGCUCCGGCGUCACCUUGAGAUGGCCUUGCGGUGCAUUAGCUAGUUGGUGGGGUAACGGCCCACCAAGGCGACGAUGCAUAGCCGACCUGAGAGGGUGAUCGGCCACACUGGGACUGAGACACGGCCCAGACUCCUACGGGAGGCAGCAGUAGGGAAUCUUCCACAAUGGACGAAAGUCUGAUGGAGCAACGCCGCGUGAGUGAUGAAGGUUUUCGGAUCGUAAAACUCUGUUGUAAGGGAAGAACACGUACGAGAGGAAAUGCUCGUACCUUGACGGUACCUUACGAGAAAGCCACGGCUAACUACGUGCCAGCAGCCGCGGUAAUACGUAGGUGGCAAGCGUUGUCCGGAAUUAUUGGGCGUAAAGCGCGCGCAGGCGGCCUUUUAAGUCUGAUGUGAAAGCCCCCGGCUCAACCGGGGAGGGCCAUUGGAAACUGGAAGGCUUGAGUACAGAAGAGAAGAGUGGAAUUCCACGUGUAGCGGUGAAAUGCGUAGAGAUGUGGAGGAACACCAGUGGCGAAGGCGACUCUUUGGUCUGUAACUGACGCUGAGGCGCGAAAGCGUGGGGAGCAAACAGGAUUAGAUACCCCUGGUAGUCCACGCCGUA
rnacentral:rRNA from 1 species